rnacentral:rRNA from 1 species
UACGUAGGGGGCAAGCGUUGGUCCGGAAUCAUUGGGCGUAAAGAGCGUGUAGGCGGCUUGGUAAGUCCGCUGUAAAAGUCCAGGGCUCAACCCUGGAAAGCCGGUGGAAACUACCAAGCUUGAGUCCGGAAGAGGCGAGUGGAAUUCCUGGUGGUAGCGGUGAAAUGCGCAGAUAUCAGGAGGAACACCAAUGGCGAAGGCAGCUCGCUGGGACGGUACUGACGCUGAGACGCGAAAGCGUGGGGAGCAAACAGG